AUGCUACGGGAAAGUGAUGAACCUCAAUUUCAGCUUCACAUAGAUCACAAGCCAGCACAGUCGGCAGCAUUUCCACCAAUUGACGUUCUAUGUCACGGGAUUGCUCGAGUCAUCAUGUUGGUCCGAUUUCCGUCCUGUCACUACAGUGCGAGGAGCAUCCCGGGAUGGCGUGGAGGGGAGACCCUGCAGCCCUGUGUCUGGGGGAGCACCGUCGCGGUGGGGGUGCAGGAGCAAAUACAUGGCGGGCCAGGGAGCCCACAGAACACGGCGGGACCUGAACUCCACUGAUCAGUUUGUCCUGAGAGCCACCCCAGAGGGCACGCUCCCAGUGAUGACCUAAGACCACAGACCCACUCCCAGCCGCCAUCAUUAGAUCAUGACCCCUCCCUUAAUCCAUCAACCCUUGCAUUAAAGAGUUUAAACAUCUUGGGUGGGUCCUCCUCAAAGCUCAAUGGUAGUUUUAUAAUAACCUCGUCAAGUAAUUCUGCUUCCCAAUUAAUUCAGAUCGACAAAAUAGCAAAUAGUAGAUGCAACUCAAAAGAAUAUAUUUUAAAGGGGGGGAAUAGAGAGAAAAAGAUUCUCCCCCAAAAUGCUACUGGUACUGUGUCCUCACAGAGCAAUGUUCUGUGUAUAAGAAUUCAUUUAUUUUUAUUUUUCUUUAAAGAUUUUAUUUACUUAUUUGAAAGGUAGAACCACGGAGAGAGAGGGAGAAGCAGAGAGAAAGGUCUACUGUCCACUGGUUCACUCCCCAAAUGGCCACAAUGGCCAGAGCUGAGAUAAGCUGAUGCCAGGAGGGGCCAGGAGCUUCUUCCACGUCUCCCGCACAGGUGCAAGGGCCCAAGGACUUGAGCUGUCUUCCACUGCUUCCCCAAGCCUGCAGCAGAGAGCUGGAAUGGAAGAGGAGUAACCGGGACAGGAACCAGUACCCAUAUGGGAUGACAACACCGCAGGCGGAGACUUAGCCUACUACAACACAGCGCCAGCCCCUAAGAACUUAUUUUUAGGGAAAAAUAUUUGAACUGAAAAAAGUAUAAGCAUUUGAAUAUUAUUGUGUUCACUACCUUAUAUUCGUAACCAAAGAUUUUAUUUUUUAAUGCCUUUAUUAACAUAUAAGUCACAAACCUUACAAUUCAGCCAUUUGAGGUGUUCAACCCAAUGGUUUUUACUCUACAAGAGUACUUCAAAAAAGUUCUUGAAAACUAAAAUUCAAAGGUAAGUUUAUUUGGGUGCAAAAGAAAUUUUAGAUUUAUGCACAGGUUUUCCACUAUAUAUUUCCUUGGAAUGUUUGAAGACCCCUGUUUCAUAUGGAUUUUAAAAAACUUUUAAGCAAAGUAAGGUUACCCUGUAAUUAUUCUCCAUGAACUUUGUGAACUACCUUCAUAAGUGCACACACACACACACACAUACACACACGUGUUGUGCUACCACCAAAGCCAAAUUCAGACAUUUGCAUCAACUGUGAAAGAAACCCAUGGAGGUGUUUGUGGGGCACAGCACUUAAGACGCUUGGAAUGCCCACAUCCCAUAGUGGAGUGCCUGGGGUUCAGUCCUAGUCCCACCCCCAAUUCCAGCUCAUGCAAACGCACCCUGGGAGGCAGUAGGCAUGGCUCAAGUGCUUGGAUCCCUGCCACCCACAUGGGAGACCUGAAUUGAGUUCCAGCAUCCUUGUUUUGGCCCAGCCCCAGCUGUUAUGGGCAGUUGGGCAAUAAAUCAGUGGAUGAAAGAUCUCUCUAUGUCUCU
ensembl:lncRNA